rnacentral:rRNA from 1 species
CCUACGGGUGGCUGCAGUGGGGAAUAUUGCACAAUGGGCGCAAGCCUGAUGCAGCCAUGCCGCGUGUGUGAAGAGGGCCUUCGGGUUGUAAAGCACUUUCAGCGGGGAGGAAGGCGUUAAGGUUAAUAACCUUGUCGAUUGACGUUACCCGCAGAAGAAGCACCGGCUAACUCCGUGCCAGCAGCCGCGGUAAUACGGAGGGUGCAAGCGUUAAUCGGAAUUACUGGGCGUAAAGCGCACGCAGGCGGUCUGUCAAGUCGGAUGUGAAAUCCCCGGGCUCAACCUGGGAACUGCAUUCGAAACUGGCAGGCUAGAGUCUUGUAGAGGGGGGUAGAAUUCCAGGUGUAGCGGUGAAAUGUGUAGAGAUCUGGAGGAAUACCGGUGGCGAAGGCGGCCCCCUGGACAAAGACUGACGCUCAGGUGCGAAAGCGUGGGGAGCAAACAGGAUUAGAUACCCGUGUAGUC